rnacentral:rRNA from 1 species
UAGGGAAUCUUCCGCAAUGGGCGAAAGCCUGACGGAGCAACGCCGCGUGAGUGAUGAAGGUCUUCGGAUCGUAAAACUCUGUUAUUAGGGAAGAACAAAUGUGUAAGUAACUAUGCACGUCUUGACGGUACCUAAUCAGAAAGCCACGGCUAACUACGUGCCAGCAGCCGCGGUAAUACGUAGGUGGCAAGCGUUAUCCGGAAUUAUUGGGCGUAAAGCGCGCGUAGGCGGUUUUUUAAGUCUGAUGUGAAAGCCCACGGCUCAACCGUGGAGGGUCAUUGGAAACUGGAAAACUUGAGUGCAGAAGAGUAAAGUGGAAUUCCAUGUGUAGCGGUGAAAUGCGCAGAGAUAUGGAGGAACACCAGUGGCGAAGGCGACUUUCUGGUCUGUAACUGACGCUGAUGUGCGAAAGCGUGGGGAUCAAACAGG